AACGUAGGAGUCAAGCGUUAUCCGGAAUUACUGGGCGUAAAGGGCGUGUAGGCGGCAGUUUAAGUCGAACGUGAAAGCUCCUGGCUCAACUGGGAGAGGACGUUGGAAACUAGACAGCUAGAGGGUGGUAGAGGCGAGUGGAAUUCCCGGUGUAGUGGUGAAAUGCGUAGAUAUCGGGAGGAACACCAGUGGCGAAGGCGGCUCGCUGGGCCAUACCUGACGCUGAGACGCGAAAGCUAGGGGAGAGAACGGGAUUAGAAACCCCAGUAGUCC
rnacentral:rRNA from 1 species